rnacentral:rRNA from 1 species
GGCGUGAAACCGCUGAGAUGGAAACGGAUAGAGUUGACGAAACUUGUCGGUAUUCAACGGAUCAACUUAAUAGCCUUACGGUUUUUGUACUUCAUUUUUUUUUUUAAAAUGGAGGCAUUAACGUAAGUUUUGCCGUUAAGUAUAAAUGCUUUGAUUUGGUGUAUUUACUGACGGUAUGCGCUGAGAGCUUCGUUAUUGCAUGUUGAUAUGUUAUCGUAGUGGACCAUAUCAAUUUUGAUAUGGAAACCUACAUACAUUCGGAGACAUGUCUUUGAUGAAGUUUAUCCAGUAACUUUCGCURUMGUAGUGYUGCAUCAUUUAUGAUUUUUGAUCGAUUUAACAUUUAAAUGUGGUCGCUUGCGACUUUAUCAAUUAAUGUUAAUCGAUAGAUUAUAAAUUUUGAUGCGUUUAAAGUUACAUCUCGGUGUGAACGUCAAUCACCUAUCCGACCCGUCUUGAAACACGGACCAAGGAGUCUAGCAUAUACGCAAGCUAUUGGGUGGUAAACCUAAAAAGCAUAAUGAAAGUAAAGAACAUCUCGUUAUGUUUGAUAUGUGAUCCGURWUUUGUUGUUGUUAAAAUUUGGAAGUAAUUCYAAAAUGUUAACACACACAACUACGGCGCAACAUAGCCCCGUCUUAAUUGCAUGCAAUGGGGCGGAGGUAGRGCGUAUACGCUGGGACCCGAAAGAUGGUGAACUAUACCUGAGCAGGAUGAAGCCAGAGGAAACUCUGGUGGAGGUCCGAAGCGAUUCUGACGUGCAAAUCGAUCGUCUGACUUUGGUAUAGGGGCGAAAGACUAAUCGAACUAUC